rnacentral:rRNA from 1 species
AUGGAUGAGGUCACAAGGGGUAUACAAGGAGAUAUCCCAUGGUGUAUGCUCUUUUCGGAUGAUGUGGUGCUAGUUGACGAUAGUCGGACGGGGGUAAAUAGGAAGUUAGAGUUAUGGAGACAAACCUUGGAAUCGAAAGGGUUUAGGCUUAGUAGAACUAAAACCGAGUACAUGAUGUGCGGUUUCAGUACUACUAGCUGUGAGGAGGAGGAGGUUAGCCUUGAUGGCCAGGUGGUACCUCGGAAGGACACCUUUCGGUAUUUGGGGUCAAUGUUGCAGGAGGAUGGGGGUAUUGAUGAAGAUGUGAACCAUCGAAUCAAAGCCGGAUGGAUGAAGUGGCACCAAGCUUCUGGCAUUCUCUGUGACAAGAGAGUGCCACAAAAGCUAAAAGGCAAGUUCUACAGGACGGCGGUUCGACCCGCAAUGUUGUAUGGCGCGGAGUGUUGGCCGACUAAAAGGCGAUAUGUUCAACAGUUAGGUGUGGUGGAGAUGCGUAUGUUGAGAUGGAUGUGUGGCCACACGAGGAAGGAUCGAGUCCGGAAUGAUGAUGUACGAGAUAGAGUUGGGGUAGCACCAAUUGAGGAGAAGCUUGUCCAACAUCGUUUGAGAUGGUUUGGGCAUAUUCAGCGCAGGCCUCCAGAAGCUCUAGUGCAUAGCGGACGGCUAAAGCGUGCGGAGAAUGUCAAGAGAGGGCGGGGUCGACCGAUUUUGACAUGGGAGGAGUCCGUUAAGAGAGACCUGAAGGAUUGGAGUAUCGACAAAGAGCUAGCUAUGGACAGGGGUGCGUGGAAGCUUGCUAUCCAUGUGCCAGAGCCAUGA